CCCUUUUCACUCUCAGAAUUGAAACUGAAGAAAAAAAGUUGGGAAGAAGAGGGAAAACGAAACUGGAGAGCUUCAAGAGCUUUAGCUACCCAUUGGCCUCGGAUCGAGUUUCUCCUAGAUCAAUAGCCGGCCUAGGAUCGAGUUUCUCCUAGAUCGACAGCCCUCGCAAAGAACAACCCUCGGCCAAACGAACUGGUACUGUAAUCUCUCUCUCUGGAACGAAACGAAGCAUUUUGAGCUAGAGGAGGCGCUGCACUGAACUAGAGUUUUGUUCAGAAAUUUCAGGUGAAAUGCAAGAAGAUGAAGAGAGCCCACACUAUUGCUUCCUCUGAAUUACGAAUAUUCCCUCCAAAGGAGAAGUCCCCACGUCAAGGGACUCUCUCCCAUGCAACGUCUCCAACCCAUUUGGUUAUGAAGAUAAGGGAUCCAUCUCUCCCACAUGUGAUAAAAACCUAUACAAUAGAGUUCUAUUCAAACUCUACAUCUUGUAACUGUAGCUUGUAUAUGACUGAUAUAUAAAUGAAUAUACAAGAACCCUAUCGUCUGAUAUGGGAAAAACACCAAACCACAGGUUUCUAUAAUUCUAUCUUGGUAUCAGAGCCUCUAGACUCACGUCCCUCUUCUUCCAUGGCUGCCUCGGACUCCACUACCUCCACCGCCACCUCUACUCCACCACCUACACCUGUUUCUCCCUCUAACAUCGUCCACUUUCUCCCAAUCAAACUGGACUGAUCCAAUUACUUGCUUUGGAAGUCUCAGUUCCUACCUCUUCUCAAUGCCCACGAUCUUUUUGGGUAUGUUGAUGGAACAUUUCCUUGUCCCUUUGAGUAUUUUCCCACUGUCCCACUGGCGGCCACCCGGGCUCCCAGUCCAGUGUUCUCUCUUUGGUGUCUUCAGGACCAGCUCAUUCUUAGCUGGAUUAUCUCUUCCCUCACUGCACAAUCCAUGGCUCAUAUCGUUGGCCUGUCGACCUCUCAAGCUGCACAAUCCAUGGCUCAUAUCGUUGGCCUGUCGACCUCUCAAGCUGCUUGGUCAAACCUUGCUCGCGUAUAUGCCUCUAAAUCUCAGGCUCGUAUUAUGCAACUAAAAUAUCAGCUUUCCCAAUUUAAGAAAGGGACUACUCCUCUGGCCGAUUACCUUCAACGUGUCAAAGAACUCGUUGAUAACUUGGCUGCUGCUGCUCCCCCUGUCUCUAACUCAGAUGUGAUUCUUCACAUACUUCAUGGUCUUGGCACUGAUUAUGAUGCCUUUGCUACCUCAGUUACAACCCGAAUUGAUCCAUUGUCUCUUGAUGACUUCACUGGACCUUUUCUCAGCCAGGAAAUCCUCAAAGAGCAAUGAGCUGCUCUGUUGAUCUUCCAUCUCCUGAGGCGAACUAUGUUAGCAAAGACACCCCUUCCGAUGGCCGUUCUAACGGAGGUUGUUGAGGUAGAUCAAACAAUGGGUGUGGUCGAGGUUAUGCUUCUCAACAGCCCAACAACACACCUCAAGAGUUCUCUCCAUGCUCGCCCUGCCAAAUCUGUGGUCGGACCAACCACUCGGCUUUGGCAUGCUACAAUAGGAUCAAUCUGAGCUAUCAAGCUACCCCCAGCAUCUCGUCAAGCACUUCUAGCCACUCCUGACUCAGGGUUUGAUCCGGCCUAGUACCCUGACUCUGGGGCCACACACCAUCUCACAGCCGAUCUGGACAACUUGACUCUCAAUGCCCCCUACAAUGGCACUGACCAGGUUCGAGUUGGUAAUGGGGCAGGUUUUCAUAUCCACCACAUUGGUCUUUCUAUUCUUCCCUCUCCCUCUCGUUCUUUUCAAAUGCAUAAUAUCUUACACGUUCCUCGUAUUACAAAAAAUCAGCUUUCUGUUAGUCAUUUUACUUCUGACAACAAUGUGUGUCUUGAAUUUCACCAUUCUUGUUGUUAUGUGAAGGAAUCUCUAAUGGGGAAAACCCUGCUUCAAGGAACGCUUAACGAUGGUCUGUAUUGAUUCCCAGUUGCUUCUUCAUCACCACAGCUUCUCAUUGGGGAACGGGUCACUCCCUCUAUUUGGUAUGAUCGUUUAGGCCAUCCCUCGUCCUCCAGCCUUGGCAUCAUCAUCUCACGUCAUCAACUCUCCACCAAGUCCGCUGUUGUGUCCUCUGAUUGUGUUGCAUGUCGCCUCGACAAAGCCCAUAAACUACCAUUUGCUUUAAGCAAUAAUGUAGCUAGUUCUCCUUUUCAGUUAAUACAUUCGGACAUUUGGGGUCCUUCCCGAAACCUUCAUUUCAAGGAUAUUUCAUUUAUUGAUGACUUCAGUCGAUUUACUUGGUUGUUUCCUAUUACAAAUCAAUCAGAUGCUCUCUCUACUUUUAUUGCAUUCUCCAAAUUUAUCCAUAUUUUUUUAAACUUUACCAUCAAGAUUUUCCAAUUUGAUGGUGCUCUUGAGUAUCAGGCUUUUGAUUCCUUCUUUAAGGAACAUGGGAUUCUACAUCAAAAUUCUUGUCCCCAUACCUCUGAAUAGAAUGGCAGGGCUGAACGGAAACAUCGUCAUGUGGUGUACCCGACCUAACCUUGCUUGCCCGUGCCAACCAUCCCAUGGAAUUUUGGGAAUCGGCUUUUGAGACUGCUGCAUUUUUAAUUAACAGACUGCCUACCCCUGUGCUUCAAUCCCGAUCCCCCUUUCGGGAACGCGCCCUAUAUGGUCUCAAAAUGUGGUCUCAUCGACUAGGCGCCUUCUUGACAUCCAUUGGGUUCACCUCAUCGCCCUCUGAUAGUGCUCUCUAGGUUCGCACAUCCUCGAAAUAGCAUCUCUAUAUUUUGGUCUAUGUUGACGACAUCAUAGUCACUGGCACCAGUUCUACUGCUGUUCAACAUAUUAUCACCACAGUGGGCAAUGAGUUUGCCAUCACUGACUUGGGCAAUCUCCAUUUCUUUCUUGGAAUUGAAGCACACAGAAACACUGAUGACCUAUAUCUUACUCAAUCAAAGUACAUCCACAAUCUUCUUUGUAAGGCAACCAUGGAUGGUGCUAAACCCAUGCCCACGCCUAGCUCCACCACAGCUCUGUCCAGAACUGCCGGUUCACCAUUUGAUGACCCUACUCUCUAUUGCAGCAUUGUGGGUGCCCUCCAGUACCUCACACUCACACAUCCAGACAUUGCAUUCUCUAUCAACAAAGUAUGCUAGUUCAUGCACUCGCCUACCACAGAACAUUGGGUUGUUGUGAAACGCAUCUUGCGAUACCUAAAGGAUUCCAUCACCCUUGGAAUUCUAAUCAGGCUCUCAUCAUCCCUUCAACUUCAUGCAUACGCUGAUGCCGACUGAACUGGUUGCCCUGAUGAUCGUCGAUCCAUGAGUGGCUACUGCAUUUACUUGGGUCCUAAUUUGGUGUUAUGGAGUUCCAAGAAGCAACACACUGUGGCCCCCUCCUCCACAGAGUCUGAACACAAGGGCCUUGCCAACGCUGCCGCUGAACUAUCAUGGUUUCGUCAAUUGUUGCUUGAUCUUGGAAUAUCAUCUUCCCCGCCAAUACUCUACUAUGACAACAUUGGUGCCACCUAUUUGGCAUCCAAUCCUCUGUUCCAUGCACGUACCAAGCAUAUAGAAAUUGAUUUUCACUUCGUACGUGAGCAAGUUGCCAGUGGUCAUCUCUGCAUAUGAUUUGUUGCUAGUCCAGACCAGAUCACUGACAUAAUGACAAAAGGACUGCCAACUCCGUGCUCACCAUCUGCUCACGGCCGCUUCACUUGUGGGGGCGUAUUACGAAUAUUCCCUCCAAAGGAGAAGUCCCCAUGUCAAGGGACUCUCUCCCAUGCAACGUCUCCAACCCAUUCGGUUAUGAAGAUAAUGGAUCCAUCUCUCCCACAUGUGAUAUAACACCUAUACAAUAGAGUUCUAUUCAAACUCUACAUCUUGUAACCACAACUUGUAUAUGACUGAUAUAUAAAUGAAUAUACAAGAACCCUAUCAUUUGAUAUGGGAAAAACACCAAACCACAGGUCUCUAUAAUUCUAUCUCUCUGUAUGAGAUUUCCAUAUUGCAGAUGGACAUCAUCUGUUCCAAAACAAGCCCACCAUUUGGAUGCUUGAUAUAAGGCUGGAUUUUAAAAUCUGGAUAUUUGAAUUUGGGAGGUUCAAACUUCAAACCCAAUUUAUUCAGAUUUGAGAUAUUGAUCUUAACCUUGUUUGUUUCAACUCUUAACCUUAUUGGGUUUGUUUCUCAAACUCUAACCAAAGCUGUAAUUGAAUAUUUGACAGAGCAGGCCAUAAGAGCUAAAUAUGCAUUUACCUAAUCAAUAUUUCCAUUUUUUAUUUUUCUCCAGAUAUAAUGUCAACUGUAGCGUGAAUGACAACAACCAAGAAUACCUAAAGUUUGUGAACUUAAGAUGUAAUUGUGGAGUAAGAGCAGCGGCCAAGAUUUCGGAGUCUGACAACAACAAACAAAGACUCUACUACAAAUGCUCCAAGUUAGAAAAUGGAUGUCGAUUCUUCUCCUGGUGUGAUCCAAUUGAAGUUCCAAGAGAGACUUAAAAUUCUAUUGAAUUGCAACAUUUGAUGGAGAUGAUGUGAAGUAUGGGAUUGAUAUUGAAAAGGCUGGGCAAGUUUAAUGAAUCACUUGUGUCUGUUGGUCAUGUUGUAUUGAUGUGCUUCGUGCUAUUCGUUAUAGCGUAUAUUGUUAAAAACUUAUGAAAAUAAAUUUGUAAUGCAGGAUUGAUAUAUGCAUUUACCUACAUUAUAUUUC